CUUGGAGUGACCUACGAUUUAUCUUCAAAUUUUUCACACGAACUUAUAAAAAAACGCAUCGUUGUCGACCAUGACACCAGGUCAAGUCUCGGUGAAGUUCCAUCAAGAUUGUGGAACGUCUAAUCUCGGGUCGGGAUGUGAAGGAAAACAAGGCGUCGCGGAGAAGCUCAGGGGACCUAGAGUUCUAAGCGUGGUAAGUUACGCGAGGAACCGGUAACUUGUCGGUCACUUCUCCAAGCCUCUUAGUUUCACGAGAAAUGAUGAGAAUUAAAAUCUCUACUGGGGAAUUUUUCCGUCGUGUCGCUGCAGCCAAUCGAGAUCAGCGCCAUUUUCUUCGUCGUGGUUGGAAGAAUAUAAUAUCGGCCUUGUUCUGAUAGUAACCAUAUGGAAUUCCACGUCCUAGGUGAAUAUUAUUACCUGGAAGUAAAUAAGACUAUAGUUAAUACUUUUUAAUAAUAUUUAUUACUCUCUAGCCCGAAGAGUGUUAAAAAGUAAUUUCAUUUAAAUGAAGAAACCUAGAGUAUAGAUGCACAAAAAGGAACGUUCUCAUGGAUUCUCGAUAUGCUCGGUAGGAGACCUCUUCAAGAGUCACCUAGGAUUAAUCGGUCAGGUCUCAAUCAUCGUAUUACCCUAUUUUUCAUCUGACCUCGUAUUUGCAUUUGCUGGUACAUCCAUUUUUUAACUUCAGAAAAUGAACAUCUCUUCGAGAAUCAUGGAGGAUCAACUGAUUAGGUGGUCAUUGAUCAAGGUUGUAUCUCUUCUGUCUAGCUUUUUACAUAUCCUAGUAUUCAUGCUUCCCGUUUUUAAUUUCAGAUAUGAAUUAUUUCUCCAAGACAUAUCCAGGAGCAACCGAUCAGGAGUCAUUCAUCACGGUUGGAUUUUUUCUACCUAGUUUUUUUAUGUUCUCUGGUACUUAUUUUCCUCAUUCUUCAUAUCAGGCAGUAUAUUUUCCUCUUCAACAGAUACUGAUGGAGGAACGUUAUCGCUGUCUGCCAUCAGUUCCUGUGGGUUAAUAAGAGGAAACUGACCAGACAGACAUCAGUUGCGGUCAGACAUCAGGAUACCAAGCUUCGUUAUGAUAACUGUACCAGUCCAUAGGGAUCCUGAAAUGGUGUGCAUUUUUUAUCGCCGGCCUUUGAUGGGCGGUUGCACAAAGGUGCAUUUAGGAUCCCCGAAACUGCCACAAGGCAUUCUUUGGAAGCGCAUUCGUUCUAUGUCGCGAUUUUAAGACCAGGCCGUACUUUUAUAGUCAAGCUAAUUUUCAAUCCGCAAUCGUCGCGCAUUUCAGACGGCGUGACUAGACCGAGAACGCGCGUCCUCGCUCCGUUUUCCGCGACUCUCGUUUUCAGUCAAUGAAUCAUCAUUAUCGCCGUUUCCCUUCCUGACAGUGGGAGUUAUCGGCGGCCCCUCUUAUCCCAAGUCAUUAAAAAAAUUGUCUCUUA